AUUGAACGCUGGCGGCAUGCUUUACACAUGCAAGUCGAACGGCAGCGCGGGCUUCGGCCUGGCGGCGAGUGGCGCACGGGUGAGUAAUACAUCGGAACGUGCCCAGUCGUUGGGGAUAGCUCGGCGAAAGCCGGAUUAAUACCGCAUACGACCUGAGGGUGAAAGCGGGGGAUCUUCGGACCUCGCGCUAUUGGAGCGGCCGAUGGCAGAUUAGCUAGUUGGUGGGGUAAAGGCCUACCAAGGCGACGAUCUGUAGCUGGUCUGAGAGGACGACCAGCCACACUGGGACUGAGACACGGCCCAGACUCCGACGGGAGGCAGCAGUGGGGAAUGUUGGACAAUGGGCGAAAGCCUGAUCCAGCAAUGCCGCGUGUGUGAUGAAGGCCUUCGGGUUGGAAAGCACUUUUGGCGGGAACGAAAAGGACUGUGCCAAUACCACGGUUCGAUGACGGUACCCGCAGAAUAAGCACCGGCUAACUACGUG
rnacentral:rRNA from 1 species